AGGAAUAAACGCUGGCGGCGUGCCUAACACAUGCAAGUCGAACGUCCUACGCAAGUAGGGAGUGGCGGACGGGUGAGUAACACGUGGGCAAUCUACCUUUCGGUGAGGAAUACCGGCGAGAAAUCGCCGACAAUACCGCAUACGCUUCGCAAGAAGCAAAGUCGCAAGACGCCGGAGGAGGAGCCUGCGCCCGAUUAGCUGGUUGGUGAGGUAAGAGCUCACCAAGGCGACGAUCGGUAGCUGGUCUGAGAGGAUGAUCAGCCACACUGGGAUUGAGAACGGCCCAGACUCCGUACGGGGGCAGCAGUGAGGUAAUUUUCGGCAAGUGGGGGGCAACCCUGACCGAGCAACGCCGCGUGCAGGAGGAAGGUCUUCGGAUCGUAAACUGUCUUUUUCUGUGGGAAGAGAACGGACGGUACCACAGGAAGAACGCCCCGGCUAACUACGUGCCAGCAGCCGC
rnacentral:rRNA from 1 species